rnacentral:misc_RNA from 1 species
GUGAAGAACGUAGCGAAAUGCGAUACGUAAUGUGAAUUGCAAAUUCAGUGAAUCAUCGAGUCUUUGAACGCACAUUGCGCCCCCUGGUAUUCCGGGGGGCAUGCCUGUCCGAGCGUCAUUGCUGCCCUCAAGCACGGCUUGUGUGUUGGGCCCCGUCCUCCGAUCCCGGGGGACGGGCCCGAAAGGCAGCGGCGGCACCGCGUCCGGUCCUCGAGCGUAUGGGGCUUUGUCACCCGCUCUGUAGGCCCGGCCGGCGCUUGCCGAUCAACCCAAAUUUUUAUCCAGGUUGACCUCGGAUCAGGUAGGGAUACCCGCUGAACUUAAGCAUAUCAAUAAGCGGAGGA